GUAGCGUCUUGCACCAGGGCCCACUUGUAUCUUGUGGCUGGAUCAUCUCUUGAAACCUAUUUGUACAUAUGUGGUAGCUAGAUGUUCCAUUUGUAAUCUGGAGGGCUGGCAAUUUAGAGUCAUCAGUCAACCUAAUCUGACCUGUGAGUUUUGUUGACACCUUUGGACUCGGACCCUGCAAGAAAACCCACACAGGCCCAAGGAGAACAUGCAAGACCAAAACCUUCUUGCUAUGAGAUGAAAGUGCUAAGCAAUGCUGCGUGAAAUACCUCAGUGCCUCCCUGCAGGAGUAUUAAAAGGAGGACCUUGUCCUGGUCAGACUUGCCAGGAUUUGCAGUAUCCCAUCUGGCCCAGGUAUGCUAUCCCGGGGUUUAGUGGGGACGUUGUGCGAAGAGGAGCCAAGGAUUGAAAAAAUAGCAAUCCUGCAGGUAAUGUAGGAAAUGCUCCACCAUAGGAGUCACUGCUCCUGACAUGAUGUGGGGGAAAAGGUAAGUAUGAGUGUCUGACUUGCAAAGGAAAUUACCCUCUAUAGCCUGUUAUAUAGAGACAUAGACACUGUGUAAACUACCUUCGAUAAAAUAUACCUGUUUAUCAAUUUACUACGUAACAUUAUUUAUUUAAUCAUUCAACAACUGUUUUAUCCUGUGAACACUGUGUUUCUUGAUUUUCAACUAAGCUCUAGGUGCCCAUACAGAGGUAAGUUAAUAAUUACUAACAACAUUUACAAAAGUGUCCUGCAAAUUUUUGUUUCACUUAUUCAAUGGCUCAGAGAUUAUUUCUCUUACUAACUCUUUUAUACUUUUAUGUAGUUUUUCUUUAGAAGGUGUAGAGGCUUUACCAGACAAAGGUGGAGAUGUGAAGGACGGAGCACUUCCCCUCAUCUGCUGCAUCCAGCAGAGGCAGCUGUUCUCUCCCAGGCUUCUCUGACGACAGAGAAGACGUUUGCUCCGGACCAGAUGAGAAGGAUGGAUGACCACAGGACAAACUGGAAAGCGGUGGUCGCCUGUUUUUCACUAGGCUAAGGCAGGACUCGUUCUGUGUCUUCAGCACUCCUGGAGCAGCUGAGAGUGGACGUCCCAGCACUAGAGCAGAGUCCUGAACCACUCUCAGCAGCCUUUAUCCUUCCAGGCACCAAAUACGGUCUGAAGACCCCUCCUGCCCCGACAACACCCUCUUCAGUUACCAGUC